rnacentral:lncRNA from 1 species
GGAGGUGGUUUCCUGUCUAGUCAACAUACAGUGGGUAGCCUACAGUGAGUAGCCCGCAGUGAAACUAGGGCACGUAUGGACCUAGCUACAGUGCGUCCUGCCGUGCAUGCACGCCAGCGCAGCAAAGGCAAUCUGCCUUGGAUCCUCGUUCGGCGCGUGUCCAGAGCGCGUCCCCCAUGCAGACCGUGGCCCCUGUGGUAUCCCCUUGAGUAUAAAAGGAGGACCAGCACCACCGGUCAAGGGGUUCGGGUUCCGGUUUCUUAAGGUUAGACUCGAGCGUAGAUUGCAAUCCCGAGAGAUUUAGUCCAGAAGUAGGAAGUAGCCACUUAGCAGAAAGGGAAGAGAGCCCCCGGGGACUCCCCCGGCAACCUUAUAAACACUUGUUCAUUGGCUAAUAAACACUCAGAGGCAGGACGUAGGGUUUUACACCUCCGGGUGGCCCGAACCUGGGUAAACCGACUUGUGCAGUGCAACGCCCGUCAUUGGCCUCGCCGGCGAUCGCUGGACCGAUCCCCAACGCCCACUGCCGAACCAAAAAGGGGGUGCCUCACAUCCCCGGUGUCUAAGCCCCGGGCUACGACAUACCACGUGUCGGCCGGAUGUACAAUGGUUACCCGAAUACAACCACUCUGUUUCUUUUCGCCUGCGGCUUCAAGCAGCAGUUCCCUUUUUUAUAGAAGAACCAGAAAAUGAAGCCGUCACAUAUUUUUUUGCAAUCAUAAAUAUUAAAGAUGUAUGAACAAAUGAAAAGAAUACGAUUCAACAAUCUAUAUAUGGUCGUUCUGAAGCACGUACAAAACAUUGUAUAUAUUCUCUAACAACAUCAAAGAUUCUGCUAGGGGUUCUGGUCACGCAACGCUAUACUAUCUUAAUCCUCAAUUAUUAUUAUUUUCUAUUUCUUUUUUCUUUUUUUUCGAAGGGGGGGGGCUGUCGUUGGGGCGUGGAUGGGUUGAUGCACCACACCGGAGAUUUGUUACCUCCAGCUAGGGUGCUGGCAACUGGGCUGAAUGAUGGGCUACGCCUGUUGAUUACCAAAACGUAAACAUGGGCUGCGAUCGAAAAUGUCUCAUGUGCACUUAAAUGCGGUCCUCCCUUCCGGACGCGCUGGCGUCACUCCAUGUGGUCCCGGACCUGCUCCUGUCAUCCACCUAAGGAACAUGUGUACGCCGUGACGCUGCACAUCUCAUUUGUCCGAUCAACAGCGGAAGUCAGAAGAAAUGAUCGUUGGGAACAAACGUAAACAAAUUUCGGGGACGGACGUUCUACGCAAAACCAUUACAUGCUGCACGCUCGAAUACAACUGUCGCACCAGUGGCACCCGGGGUACCACCGCUGCGCGACGCGUGGCCCCCUCCCCCGGGUUCCCGGGAAGGUCUCAUCCCGGGGAGCGCCAACGAGCUUCCCGGCAAGCUACCUGCCCCGAAAUGGGCUAGCGGGGCCUCCCGGAAUAUUCCCGACUAGGCACCUCCCG